rnacentral:rRNA from 1 species
UACGAGGGGGGCGAGCGUUGUUCGGAAUUAUUGGGCGUAAAGGGCGCGUAGGCGGUGCGGUAAGUCACCUGUGAAACCUCUAGGCUUAACCUAGAGCCUGCAGGCGAAACUGCCGUGCUGGAGUGUGGGAGAGGUGCGUGGAAUUCCCGGUGUAGCGGUGAAAUGCGUAGAUAUCGGGGAGGAACACCUGUGGCGAAAGCGGCGCACUGGACCACAACUGACGCUGAGGCGCGAAAGCUAGGGGAGCAAACAGG